rnacentral:rRNA from 1 species
UACGGGAGGCAGCAGUAGGGGAAUCUUCCGCAAUGGACGAAAGUCUGACGGAGCAACGCCGCGUGAACGAUGAAGGCUUUCGGGUCGUAAAGUUCUGUUGUUAGGGAAGAACAAGUACCAGAGUAACUGCUGGUACCUUGACGGUACCUAACCAGAAAGCCACGGCUAACUACGUGCCAGCAGCCGCGGUAAUACGUAGGUGGCAAGCGUUGUCCGGAAUUAUUGGGCGUAAAGCGCGCGCAGGUGGUCCUUUAAGUCUGAUGUGAAAGCCCACGGCUCAACCGUGGAGGGUCAUUGGAAACUGGGGACUUGAGUGCAGAAGAGGAAAGUGGAAUUCCACGUGUAGCGGUGAAAUGCGUAGAGAUGUGGAGGAACACCAGUGGCGAAGGCGACUUUUCUGGUCUGUAACUGACACUGAGGCGCGAAAGCGUGGGGAGCGAACAGGGAUUAGAUACC